rnacentral:misc_RNA from 1 species
AUUCAAAUGCUAGCAGUCAAUAAACCAUGGCAUCUCGGAAUUUGUUUUUCCUUCUGUUCGUUGUAGGGAUGAUGUUUUCUCUACACCAAGUGGAAGGAAAUUUGGAAAGAGACCCGGAUAUAGCUGCUGCUCGAGUACAUGGUAUGAUGUACGUGGAGACUCUUUCCCAUGUAAGUCCAAGACCAUGGUUUAUGCCAAGGCCAAGACAAAGACCAAGACCAAGGCCAUGGUUUAGAGCAAGGCCAAGGCCAAGAUCAAGGCCAAGAUCAAGACCCAGGGACCGCCAUCGUUCAUAUUAAACAAACAAGCGUCAUCGUGUGAAUAUAAAAUAUACUGGAUUUAGUGACAAAUACAAUUUUGUUCUGUUUUAUGUUGGAUAAAUCAUAAGUUUUUGAGGUAUACUUACAUAAAUAAAAUGUAAACAAAC